CUGCUUUCUGCCAGGAUCCCAGGUGCUGGAGUGGUGCUGAGCAGGUGGAGGGGAGAGGUGCUUUCUCCUUCAUGCUCUUGGGGUUUUCUCACUCUGCCCUUGCUAUCUGCUCUCCUGGAGUGUUAGCUUGAUGAGGUCACCCCUGCUUUAGAUUUUACCUCAGUAGGGGCUUUCCCCUAGGCUGUGAGGGCCCUCAAGGAUCUUUGGCGCUCCUGUGAACAGAUGUCCCCUCCCCUCUUCCUUCCCUCUCAGAGACUGCGUGCGGUCCCGGAUCCCAGUCUUUCGUGGAGUGAUUCUAAUAGGCACCUCAUGUGGAAAACUACUCACAGGGUUUAACAAAGAAAACAUUUGGAAUAACCCAAACUUUCCUCCGUUUUGGGGGUGACUAUUCAAGCAGCCUUGCCUCUUGCUCUUCGAUUGGCUCUCCCAUUAGUGUCCUUCCCUUGAGCAUGGCUGUCCUCACCCCGACUCAGCCCCAAAGUUUUGAGGCUCCCAUUAAAAAUUCCAGACCAAGAACAGGUGAGAGAUUCCAGGCAGGGAAGUAACGUGCCUGACAUCCAUGGAACCAGUUCCUCCCAGAGGUGGCACUGCUGACUCUCCGUUCACAGCCACUUACACUACCGUCCCUGCAGAAAUGGGGUGCUACAGAGAAUGUCCUUAGCAAACUUUCAGAGACAAGGCUAUUUUAGAGUGCAAGAGCAAAAACCCAUUCAACCCGGCAAAAAUCACAGAGUCUUAGAAAGAAUCAGGAUCUUACAGAGCUCCAGUCAGGCCUCAUUGGGAACUGGAACCAGCAAUUGGAAAAGCAGCAGGAACCUAGACAGUUAUUGUCCCUCGUGUGGGUGUGUGUAUUUGUCUCCAGGCUACUUUCUCUCUGCUUCCCUUUGCACAUGAAGCUGCAGGAGCAGGAACCUGGUCAGCCCUUUCGGUCAGGUGUCCACCCCUUCUCCCUCCAGGAACGAGCAGGGAGCGGAGCCAGUUGUAGAAACAUGGGAAGAAAGUUUGAGGACGGUGGCUAACUGCCGCCGGGGACCUACGUCAGAGCUUGAACUGACCUCCCCUCAAGGGUUCUCAUAUGGGCACAGAACCUAGAGCUCAUUCAGUGCAACGCCCUCAUGUUCCUGGGUGUCUGUCACCGGUUCUGUGUCUACUGAUGCGCAGGCAUAAAUCUCCAAUUUUUCAACAACUUAUUUACAGAAAGAAUCGCGAAGCCGCUGACCUCAGACUCGCAUCUCUGAGGAACCUGACUUUGGACUUUAGCCUACGUGUUAAACCUCAGGAAAUUUUAUACAUGAGCAAGGAACACAGGACCCAAGACAAGCAGACUGAUCGUCAAGCCGCUGUCUCAAUUUUUUUAAAUGUUCUUGAGAACAUUUGACGUGUUCUUCGAGCCAAAGCAAUAGCUUCUUAUUUGGUGAGCAUGUUUUUUGAGACAAUACGAGGCUCGACUUUAAAAUUUACCCAAAUAAAAGUGUGUAUGCAUGUCUGUUAAUUCCUAAUGUCAUUCUUCUUUCAUAUAUAUUUUUUGCAUAAUUUUCAGCUAUUCUGCACGAAUUAAAACUGGUUAGUUUUUCCUUCUUUUCAUUACUGUUCCAGCCUUCUUAGGAUGAGCUCUAUUACAUAAAAAGGAUUGCGCUUUACUUUUCCUUCUACUCUGGAUCUGUAUCUCUGAAACUGUUCAUGUAGACUUUGGGCCAAUGACUGAUUAUUCCAUAGAGAAGCUGGGUCACAAAAAAUAUUGAUUACAGAUCACAUAGACUUGUGUGACUCAUAGGAGGUGGUGUAAAAGAAAGCUAAGUGGGGAAAAUUCUUGUUUUC
ensembl:lncRNA